CCUACGGGUGGCUGCAGUGGGGAAUAUUGGGCAAUGGACGAGAGUCUGAACCAGCAACGUCGCGUGAAUGAUGACGGCCCUCUGGUUUGUAAGCUUCGUUUAUGUGGGAGUAAACUAUUCCGCUUGUGGGAUUUUAUGUCUCCCCUAUGAAUGUGGAUGGACUAACUCCGUGCCAGCAGCCGCGGUAAUACGGAGGAUCCGAGCGUUAUCCGGAUUUAUUGGGUUGAAAGGGAGCGUAGGUGGAUUGUUAAGUCAGUUGUGUAAGUUUGCGGCUCAACCGUAAAACUGCAGUUGAAACUGGUAGUCUUGAGUACAGUAGAGGUGGGCGGAAUUCGUGGGGUAGCGGUGAAAUGCUUAGAUAUCACGAAGAACUCCGAUUGCGAAGGCAGCAUACCGGAGCCCAACUGACGCUGAAGCACGAAAGCGUGGGUAGCGAACAGGAUUAGAUACCCGAGUAGUC
rnacentral:rRNA from 1 species